GUAGGAAAACAGCGGUGUUCUAUUAAUGAGCAAAUGGUUUUCAUUUUAAAACCAAGGCCAUAAUAUUAAUAAAAUAUAAUUUUCCUGGAAACUUCCAAUGGUUUGAGAUGAUGGUUAGAUAUUUAAAAAGAAUUAAGUUCAUCAUAAAAUCUUAGUAUUGAAAGUAGAAUUGCUGUUUAAUUUUUAAAAUUUUAUUUGACUAACAAGAAUAAAGCAACAUGUAUAAUCUUCGCUAACCAAAAAAUUAUCUUCCCUUAUUCUACACUUAUGAUUUCUUUCUAGUUUGAGAGCCUUUAAUUUUUUGUAAUUUAAAUGUUAGUUUAUUUUUCAAAAGUUUUUAAUUUUCUUUUAUCUAAAUUAUACUGCUUAGGAAUGGGGAACAGGUUGACCAAGACAGUAAAAAAUGGGAAGACGAUUAGGAACUGAGGCCAACAGCCAAGUACCUACGGCAAGACUCCUCGACGUGGUGCAGCAGUUGGAGGUGCUGCAGCUGCUAAUGCCUACCACCCAUACAGCCGUUAAAUAAUUUUCAUGAACAUUUAAUCAUCUUUCAUAAUUUUCAUGUCUUGUACAUAGGCUAUACUGUCCUCAUGAAUAAAACUUUUAUUUCUAGUGCA